UUUUCUUUCAUAUUGUGGUUUCAUCAUUCGAUUAUAAAUAAUUAAUAUUUUAAUAUAAUAAAUGUCUCUGACCCUCCUAACUGGCUGUAGUCAAUUCAGCAAUCAAUUUUUAUCAGUAAGAACAUAUUUUUACAGACAAUAAUCUGGAUUAAAUUGUUUACUUUAAAUUAAAUUACUUUAAAUAAAAAAUAAGGCAUUUUCAUAAAAUAUUUUGAAGAUGCCUUUUUUGAGAAGGGUUGUGAUUUUCCAGAAAUCUGUUGCCAAUGGCUUCUCCGAGGCCACUGGUCAAAGCGACUGUCAGUUUUAUCAGUAAUGCCUAAUCAUAUUCUGACAAUAGCCUGUCUUGAAAGUCUGUCUUUUGAUUAUACUCUACGUUUAUAAGAAAUUUACUACAUUUUCUAAAUAACUAUUUUAUAUGUGGCCUUUUUGACAGGAGUGGAUAUGCAGGUUUUGCCAUAAACAUCUCUGAGCCUCCCAACUUGCAGUAGUCAAUUCAGUAAUCAAUUUCAGUAAGGGCAUAUUUUUACUGACAAUAAUCUGGAUUAAAUUGUUUACAUUAAAUUUAUUUAAAAAUAGCUCAUUUCCAUAAUAAAAUAUUUUGAAUAUGCCUUUUUGUCAAUGGCUUCUCUGAGGCCACUGGUCAAAGCGACUGUCAGUUUUAUCAGUAAUGACUAAUCAUAUUCUGACAAUAGGCUGGCUUGAAAGUUUGUCUUUUGAUUAUACUCUACGUUUAUAAGAACUUACAUUUUAUAAAUAGCUAUUUUAUAUGUGGCCUUUUUGACAGGAGUGGAUAUGCAGGUUUUGCCAUAAACGUCUCAUAUUUCUAAUCUUGCUGUGGUCAAAGCAACAGUCAAUUGUUAUCAGGAGAAAAAUGAUAUCUGCCUCACAAUAUUCAACGUGACUGUCAAUUUUGAUCAGUAAGGACGAUUCAUUCCCUGGUUAUCAACCUGUGGCUUGAGUUUUUAUCUUCAAAUGCUGACUUCAAAUAAAUUUGUCGAAUCUUAUCUGCUGUCAUUGAGUUUGAUAUAGGAAAAACCCGAUUGAAUUAUGAAACACCAUGUCUGUGUUGCAUGUAUUUCUAUAAGAUCAAAUAUAUUUAUUAAAUACAA